rnacentral:rRNA from 1 species
GAUGAACGCUGGCGGCGUGCUUAACACAUGCAAGUCGAACGAUGAAAGCGGGGCUUGCUCCUGCUGGAUUAGUGGCGAACGGGUGAGUAACACGUGAGCAAUCUGCCCCGAACUCUGGGAUAAGCGUCGGAAACGACGUCUAAUACCGGAUACGACGCGCGAAGGCAUCUUCUGCGCGUGGAAAGAACUUUGGUUCGGGAUGAGCUCGCGGCCUAUCAGCUAGUUGGUGAGGUAACGGCCCACCAAGGCGACGACGGGUAGCCGGCCUGAGAGGGUGACCGGCCACACUGGGACUGAGACACGGCCCAGACUCCUACGGGAGGCAGCAGUGGGGAAUAUUGCACAAUGGGCGCAAGCCUGAUGCAGCAACGCCGCGUGAGGGACGACGGCCUUCGGGUUGUAAACCUCUUUUAGUAGGGAAGAAGCGAAAGUGACGGUACCUGCAGAAAAAGCACCGGCUAACUACGUGCCAGCCGCCGCGGUAAUAC